GAUGAACGCUGGCGGCGUGCCUAAUACAUGCAAGUCGAACGAACAGACCAGGAGCUUGCUCCUCUGACGUUAUCGGCGGACGGGUGCGUAACACGUGGUUAACCUACCUCUACGACUGGGAUAACUUCGGCAAACCGUAUCUACUACCGGAUAAUAUAUUGAACCGCAUGGUUCCAUAGUUGAAGACGGUUUUUCUGUCACUAAUAGAUUGAUCCGGCCCGCAUUCGCUAGUUGGUAAGGUAACGGCUUAGCAAGGCUGCGAUGCGUAGCCGACCCGAGAGGGUGGAUGGCUAGCCGGGAAGUGAGACUCGGCCGACACACCUACGGGAGGAAGCAGUAGGGAAUCUUACGCAAUGGGGGAGAGCCGGACGGAGCAACGCCGCGGGAGGGAUGAAGGUGCUAGGAUCGGAAAACUCUGUUAUUAGGGAAGAAGAAAUGUGUAAGUAACCAGGCACGUCUUGACGGUACCUAAUCAGUAAGCUACGGCUAACUACGUG
rnacentral:rRNA from 1 species